AUUCCAAUCGAACUCGGAGAUAGCUGGUUCUCCCCGAAAUAGCUUUAGGGCUAGCCUCAUGUUAGAUAUCCGGAGGUAAAGCACUGAAUGGCCUAGCGUCCGAGAGGAUAGCGAAGCCUAUCAAACUAAGAAUGCCGGAAUAUUGAUGCAUGGGAGUCAGACAGUGUGAGAUAAAUCUCAUUGUCAAAAGGGAAACAGCCCAGAUCUACAGCUAAGGUCCCAAAUUGUAUCUAAGUGGAAAACGAUGUGGAAAUACGCAGACAACCAGGAUGUUGGCUCAGAAGCAGCCACUCAUUUAAAGAGUGCGUAAUAGCUCACUGGUCGAGCGUCUCUGCGCGGAAAAUUUAACGGGGCUAAGAUACAAACCGAAGCUUAGGCUGCAUACGUAAGUAUGCGGGGUAGGGGAGCGUUGUGUAAGCGGAGAAACAGUAGCGUAAGCGGCUGUGGAGUUUACAGAAGUGAGAAUGCCGGAAUGAGUAGCGCGAAUGAUGUGAGAAUCAUCAUGGCCGGAAACCUCAGGUUUUUGGAGGAAGGUUCGUCCGCUCCAAGUUAGGCGGGAGCUAAGGUGAGGCCGAAAGGCGUAGCCGAUGCACAGACGGUAGAGAUUCCGUCCCCACCGAAAGAUUUAAGCGCAGGGACACUUUUAGAAGGUCGGAGCCAGGUGUUGGUUCUGGUAGAGAUCGAGGGAAGAUUAGUACCGAAGUCCGGCUGGAUAAGAGGCGAGAAAAGCUGCGUGUAUAUCUAAGGUGCCCGUACCGCAAACCGACACAGGUAGGUAGGAAGAAGAUUCUAAGGCCAACGGGAGAAGGGUUGUUAAGGAACUCGGCAAAUUGACCCCGUAACUUCGGGAGAAGGGGUGCUCCAGAGAUGGAGCCGCAGAGAAUCGGCCCAAGCAACUGUUUACCAAAAACACAGGUUUGUGCUAAAUCGAAAGAUGACGUAUACGAGCUGACGCCUGCCCGGUGCUGGAAGGUUAAAAGGAGAUGUGCAAGCAUUGAAUUGAAGCCCCAGUGAACGGCGGCCGUAACUAUAACGGUCCUAAGGUAGCGAAAUUCCUUGUCAGGUAAGUUCUGACCCGCAUGAAAGGCGUAAUGAUUUGGGCACUGUCUCAACAGCCCGCCCGGCGAAAUUGUAGUACCGGUGAAGAUGCCGGUUACCCGCGACAAGACGGAAAGACCCCAUGGAGCUUUACUGUAGCCUAAUAUUGGGUUUCGAUGUUGCAUGCACAGGAUAGAUGGGACACUGGGAAGCAAGUGCUUUGGCAUUUGUGGAGUGGCCGUUGGGAUACCAUCCUUGCGAUAUUGGAAUUCUAACCUGCGCCUUUGAAUCAAGGCGGGGGACAUUGUUAGGUGGGCAGUUUGACUGGGGCGGUCGCCUCCUAAAGAGUAACGGAGGCGUUCAAAGGUUCGCUCAGCUUGAACGGAAAUCAAGCAAAAGAG
rnacentral:rRNA from 1 species